rnacentral:rRNA from 1 species
GACAGAGGUGCCAAGCGUUAGGCGGAAUCACUGGGCUUAAAGCGUGUGUAGGCGGAAGCGUAAGUGCCUUGUGAAAUCCCCCGGCUCAACCGGGGAACUGCUGGGCAUACUGCGUUUCUUGGGCUAAUCAGGGGUCGUCGGAACAAACGGUGGAGCGGUGAAAUGCGUAGAUAUCGUUUGGAACGCCGAAGGCGAAAGCAGACGACUGGGAUUACGCCGACGCUGAGACACGAAAGCCAGGGGAGCAAACGGG